GAUGAACGCUGGCGGCGUGCCUAAUACAUGCAAGUCGAGCGAACAGACGAGGAGCUUGCUCCUCUGACGUUAGCGGCGGACGGGUGAGUAACACGUGGAUAACCUACCUAUAAGACUGGGAUAACUUCGGGAAACCGGAGCUAAUACCGGAUAAUAUAUUGAACCGCAUGGUGCGAUAGUGAAAGACGGUUGUGCUGGAUCUUAUAGAGGGAUCCGGGCCGGAUGAGCUGGUUGGUAAGGUAACGGCUUACCACGGCAACGAUGCGUAGCCGAACUGAUGGGGUGGUCGGCCACACGAGAACUGAGCCAGGGUCCAGACUCCUACGGGAGGCAGCAGUAGGGAAUGUUCCGCAAUGGGCGAAAGCCUGACGGAGCAACGCCGCGUGAGUGAUGAAGAUCUUCGGAUCGUAAAGCCCUGUUAUUAGGGAAGAACAAAUGUGUAAGUAACUAUGCACGUAUUGACGGUACCUAAUCAGAAAGCCACGGCUAACUACGUG
rnacentral:rRNA from 1 species